CCGAGUGGGGCGGGGUGGGUCCCUGCAGGGACUGUGACACUGAAGGACCUGCACCUCCGCCCACAG
ensembl:miRNA